rnacentral:rRNA from 1 species
UACGGAGGGGACUAGCGUCGUUCGGAAUUACUGGGCGUAAAGCGCACGUAGGCGGAUUUGUAAGUCAGGGGUGAAAUCCCGAGGCUCAACCUCGGAACUGCCUUUGAUACUGCAAAUCUCGAGUCCGGAAGAGGUGAGUGGAAUUCCUAGUGUAGAGGUGAAAUUCGUAGAUAUUAGGAAGAACACCAGUGGCGAAGGCGGCUCACUGGUCCGGUACUGACGCUGAGGUGCGAAAGCGUGGGGAGCAAACAGG